AACGAACGCUGGCGGCAUGCCUAACACAUGCAAGUCGAACGAGACCUUCGGGUCUAGUGGCGCACGGGUGCGUAACGCGUGGGAACCUGCCCUUAGGUUCGGAAUAACUCCCCGAAAGGGGUGCUAAUACCGGAUAAUGUCUUCGGACCAAAGAUUUAUCGCCUUUGGAUGGGCCCGCGUUGGAUUAGCUAGUUGGUAGGGUAAAAGCCUACCAAGGCGACGAUCCAUAGCUGGUCUGAGAGGAUGAUCAGCCACACUGGGACUGAGACACGGCCCAGACUCCUACGGGAGGCAGCAGUGGGGAAUAUUGGACAAUGGGCGAAAGCCUGAUCCAGCAAUGCCUAGUGAGUGAUGAAGGCCUUAGGGUUGUAAAGCUCUUUUACCCGGGAUGAUAAUGACAGUACCGGGAGAAUAAGCUCCGGCUAACUCCGUG
rnacentral:rRNA from 1 species